rnacentral:rRNA from 1 species
GAUGAACGCUGGCGGCGUGCCUAAUACAUGCAAGUCGAGCGAACAGACGAGGAGCUUGCUCCUCUGACGUUAGCGGCGGACGGGUGAGUAACCCGUGGAUAACCUACCUAUAAGACUGGGAUAACUUCGGGACACCGGAGCUUAUACCGGAUAAUCUAUUGCACCGCAUGGUUCAAUAGUGAAAGACGGUUUUGCUGUCACUUAUAGAUGGCUCUGCGCCUCAUUAGCUAGUUGGUAAGGUAAUGGCUUACCAAGGCAACGAUGCGUAGCCGACGUGGAAGGGUGAUCUGGCACACGAGAACUGAGACACGGUGCAGACUCCUGCGGGAGGCAACAGUAGCGUAUCUUCGGCAAUGGGCGGAAGCUUGACGGAGCAACGCCGCGUGAGUGAUGAAGGUCUUCGGAUCUUAAAACGCUGUUAUGAGGGAAAAACAAAUGUGUAAGUAACUAUGCACGUCUUGACGGUACCUAAUCAGAAAGCCACGGCUAACUACGUG